AAUAGCUGAUUGCACCAACAAAUAGUUGAUGCAAUAUUGACUCUGUCAAAUAAAAUUCUAGGUAGAAUUAUGAUAAUGACAUUGUCUGCCUAUAUGUCUUGACCAAAUUACGUGCCAGCAGUCGCGGUAAUACGUAGAAGACUAGUGUUAUUCAUCUUUAAUAGGUUUAAAGGGUACCUAGACGGUAAAUCAAGCCUUCACAGGGACUAAUUUACUAGAGUUACUUACGAGGGGGUAUUAAAGUACUGCAGGUGUAGAGAUGAAAUUCUGUCAUACCUCUUUUCAAAAGAAAAAUUAUGGCACAGGUAUAGGUGAAAGCAUCCCCUUAUGUGAUAACUGACGUUGAAGGACGAAGGCUUUGUGUCGCGAACAGGAUUAGAUACCCCAGUAGUCAAAGCAGAAAAUGAUGAAUGUCAUAGAUUAGAUAAAUAGUUUAUUCUAUAAAUGAAAAUGUAAGCAUUCCACCUCAAGAGUAAUUUGGCAACAUUGGAACUGAAAUCAUUAGACCGUUUCUGAAACCAGUAGUGAAGUAUGUUGUUUAAUUUGAUGAUCCGCAAAAAACCUUACCACAAUUUGAAUAUUUAUAUCUAUCUUUUUUUUUCGUAAAAAAAUAAAAAGGUAAUAUAUUUACAAGCGUUGCACGGCUGUCUUCAGUUAAUGUCGCGAGACUUUGGUUAGUUCCAUUAAAUUAACGUAAACCCUUACUUUAUUUUUAUAUGAAGUAGUUCCCCGCUAUAUUGGAUAUGAUAACAGGGACUAAGA
rnacentral:rRNA from 1 species